rnacentral:rRNA from 1 species
AGGAAUAUUGGACAAUGGGCGCAAGCCUGAUCCAGCCAUGCCGCGUGCAGGAUGACGGUCCUAUGGAUUGUAAACUGCUUUUGUACAGGAAGAAACACUGGUUCGUGAACCAGCUUGACGGUACUGUAAGAAUAAGGAUCGGCUAACUCCGUGCCAGCAGCCGCGGUAAUACGGAGGAUCCAAGCGUUAUCCGGAAUCAUUGGGUUUAAAGGGUCCGUAGGCGGUUUAAUAAGUCAGUGGUGAAAGCCCAUCGCUCAACGGUGGAACGGCCAUUGAUACUGUUAAACUUGAAUUAUUAGGAAGUAACUAGAAUAUGUAGUGUAGCGGUGAAAUGCUUAGAGAUUACAUGGAAUACCAAUUGCGAAGGCAGGUUACUACUAAUUGAUUGACGCUGAUGGACGAAAGCGUGGGUAGCGAACAGGAUUAGAUACCCUGGUAGUCCACGCCGUAAACGAUGGAUACUAGCUGUUGGGUGCAAACUCAGUGGCUAAGCGAAAGUGAUAAGUAUCCCACCUGGGGAGUACGUUCGCAAGAAUG